rnacentral:rRNA from 1 species
UACGUAGGUGGCGAGCGUUGUCCGGAUUUACUGGGCGUAAAGAGCGCGCAGGCGGUCGUGCCAGUCGCGUGUGAAAGCCCCCGGCUCAACUGGGGAGGGUCACGCGAUACUGCUCGACUCGAAGGCAGGAGAGGGAAGUGGAAUUCCCGGUGUAGUGGUGAAAUGCGUAGAUAUCGGGAGGAACACCAGUGGCGAAGGCGACUUCCUGGCCUGUUCUUGACGCUGAGGCGCGAAAGCUAGGGUAGCAAACGGG